GACGAACGCUGGCGGCGUGCCUAAUACAUGCAAGUCGAACGCUGAAGGAAGGAGCUUGCUCUUUCUGGAUGAGUUGCGAACGGGUGAGUAACGCGUAGGUAACCUGCCUGGUAGCGGGGGAUAACUACUGGAAACGAUAGCUAAUACCGCAUAAUAUUGAUUAUUGCAUGAUAGUCAAUUAAAAGGUGCAACUGCACCACUACCAGAUGGACCUGCGUUGUAUUAGCUAGUUGGUGGGGUAACGGCUCACCAAGGCGACGAUACAUAGCCGACCUGAGAGGGUGAUCGGCCACACUGGGACUGAGACACGGCCCAGACUCCUACGGGAGGCAGCAGUAGGGAAUCUUCGGCAAUGGACGGAAGUCUGACCGAGCAACGCCGCGUGAGUGAAGAAGGUUUUCGGAUCGUAAAGCUCUGUUGUAAGGGAAGAACAAGUGUGAGAGUAGAAAGUUCACACUGUGACGGUACCUUACCAGAAAGGGACGGCUAACUACGUG
rnacentral:rRNA from 1 species